CAGUCGCCGCGGGAACACGUAGGGUGCAAGCGUUAAUCGGAAUUACUGGGCGUAAAGCGUGCGCAGGCGGUUAUAUAAGUCAGAUGUGAAAUCCCCGGGCUCAACCUGGGAACUGCAUUUGAGACUGUAUGGCUAGAGAGUGUUAGAGGGGGGUAGAAUUCCACGUGUAGCAGUGAAAUGCGUAGAUAUGUGGAGGAAUACCGAUGGCGGAGGCAGCCCCCUGGGAUAACACUGACGCUCAUGCACGAAAGCGUGGGGAGCAAACAGGAUUAGAUACCCGAGUAGUCCCUGUCUCUUAUAC
rnacentral:rRNA from 1 species